rnacentral:rRNA from 1 species
AACGAACGCUGGCGGCAGGCUUAACACAUGCAAGUCGAACGCCCCGCAAGGGGAGUGGCAGACGGGUGAGUAACACGUGGGAACAUACCCUUCGGUUCGGAACAACGCCGGGAAACUGGCGCUAAUACCGGAUACGCCCUUUUGGGGAAAGGCUUGCUGCCGAAGGAUUGGCCCGCGUUCGAUUAGCUUGUUGGUGAGGUAACGGCUCACCAAGGCGACGAUCGAUAGCUGGUCUGAGAGGAUGGCCAGCCACAUUGGGACUGAGACACGGCCCAAACUCCUACGGGAGGCAGCAGUGGGGAAUAUUGGACAAUGGGCGCAAGCCUGAUCCAGCCAUGCCGCGUGAGUGAUGACGGCCUUAGGGUUGUAAAGCUCUUUCGCACGCGACGAUAAUGACGGUAGCGUGAGAAGAAGCCCCGGCUAACUUCGUGCCAGCAGCCGCGGUAAUACGAAGGGGGCUAGCGUUGUUCGGAAUCACUGGGCGUAAAGGGUGCGUAGGCGGAUUCUUAAGUCAGGGGUGAAAUCCCGAGGCUCAACCUCGGAACUGCCUUUGAUACUGGGGAUCUUGAGUCCGGAAGAGGUGAGUGGAACUGCGAGUGUAGAGGUGAAAUUCGUAGAUAUUCGCAAGAACACCAGUGGCGAAGGCGGCUCACUGGUCCGGAACUGACGCUGAGGCACGACAGCGUGGGGAGCAAACAGGAUUAGAUACCCUGGUAGUCCACGCCGUAAACGAUGAAUGCCAGCCGUUGGGUGAUUUAUCACUGAGUGGCGCAGCUAACGCUUUGAGCAUUCCGCCUGGGGAGUACGGUCGCAAGAUU